CACCACCAGCCCCACCACGCGGUAG
rnacentral:miRNA from 1 species